rnacentral:rRNA from 1 species
GCUGGCGAACUGGGUGAGUAACACGUGAGCACCUGCCUCUGACUUUGGGAUAACAGUAGGAAACUGCUGCUAAUACCGGAUAUCACCUCCUUCUGCAUGGUGGGGGGUUGAAAGCUUUUGCGGUCAGGGAUGGGCUCGCGGCCUAUCAGCUUGUUGGUGAGGUAAUGGCUCACCAAGGCUUCGACGGGUAGCCGGCCUGAGAGGGCGACCGGCCACACUGGGACUGAGAUACGGCCCAGACUCCUACGGGAGGCAGCAGUGGGGAAUAUUGCACAAUGGGCGGAAGCCUGAUGCAGCAACGCCGCGUGCGGGAUGACGGCCUUCGGGUUGUAAACCGCUUUCACUCAUGACGAAGCGCAAGUGACGGUAGUGAGAGAAGAAGCACCGGCCAACUACGUGCCAGCAGCCGCGGUGAUACGUAGGGUGCGAGCGUUGUCCGGAAUUAUUGGGCGUAAAGAGCUCGUAGGCGGUCUGUCACGUCGGAAGUGAAAACUCAGGGCUCAACCCUGAGCCUGCUUCCGAUACGGGCAGACUUGAGGAAGGUAGGGGAGAACGGAAUUCCUGGUGGAGCGGUGGAAUGCUCAGAUAUCAGGAGGAACACCGGUGGCGAAGGCGGUUCUCUGGACCUUUCCUGACGCUGAGGAGCGAAAGCGUGGGGAGCAAACAGGCUUAGAUACCCUGGUAGUCCACGCCGUAAACGGUGGGCACUAGGUGUGGGGGACAUUCCACGUUCUCCGUGCCGUAGCUAACGCAUUAAGUGCCCCGCCUGGGGAGUACGGCCGCAAGGCUAAAACUCAAAGGAAUUGACGGGGGCCCGCACAAGCGGCGGAGCAUGCUGAUUAAUUCGAUGCAACGCGAAGAACCUUACCUGGGUUUGACAUAUGCCGGAAAGCUGCAAAAGAUGUAGCCCCCCGCAAGGUCGGAAUACAGGUGGUGCAUUGCUUGCCGUCAGCUCCGGGC